rnacentral:lncRNA from 1 species
CAGUAAUAAAUUAAGUAAACUAACUUUUUAAAUACUGUACUUCUAUUUCAAUUUUGUAUAUAUAAUGGUUUAAUCGGGAUUUUUGUUAUCCGGGAUUUCCCAUUUCCCAUUCAUUCUGGAUAAUCGAGAGGCUACGGUAAUAAUAUCCACUGGCCACUUUGCUCUCCCCUAUAUGUUAAAUGCAGAGAAAACUAAGAUAAAAAAAACAACUAUGAUAAUUAUGAGUGACUAAUGUAAUCUGAUAUGUUAUUAGAAACUUGUUUCGAUAAUAAACAGUUAUGUAAUGCACCAGGAGGGAAAGUACAAUGAUCUUGGGAAAUACUGCUUCACUGCCAAACUAGUUACGAAAUUCGUUCCUUUAGUGUCAUUAAUCUUGGAAAGUUACCAAAUGUACAGUACGUUCCAAGUAGAUUAUAAGUAUACAUACUAUUUUUAUAUCUUUAUAAUUUAUUUUUUAAUUUGUUGUUCGGAAAUUAUUUUAAACAUCAAUAAACACAGUC